GUGCCAGCAGCCGCGGUAAUACGUAGGUGGCGAGCGUUGUCCGGAAUUACUGGGCGUAAAGGGUGCGUAGGCGGGAUCUUAAGUCAGAUGUGAAAUUCCGGAGCUUAACUUCGGAACUGCAUUUGAAACUGGGAUUCUGGAGUGCAAGAGAGGAAAGCGGAAUUCCUAGUGUAGCGGUGACAUGCGUAGAUAGUAGGAAGAACAACAGUGGCGAAGGCGGCUUUCUGGUCUGUAACUGACGCUGAUGCAAGAAAGCGUGGGGAGCAACCAAGAAUAGAUACCCUGGUAGUCCACGCUGUAAACGACGAGUGCUAGGUGUAGGGGGUGUCAUGCCUUCUGUGCCGGAGCAAACGCAAUAAGCACUCCGCCUGGGGAGUACGGUCGCAAGACUAAAACUCAAAGGAAUUGACGG
rnacentral:rRNA from 1 species